rnacentral:rRNA from 1 species
GAUGAACGCUGGCGGCGUGCCUAAUACAUGCAAGUCGAGCGAACAGACGAGGAGCUUGCUCCUCUGACGUUAGCGGCGGACGGGUGAGUAACACGUGGAUAACCUACCUAUAAGACUGGGAUAACUUCGGGAAACCGGAGCUAAUACCGGAUAAUCUAUUGAACCGCAUGGUUCAAUAGUGAAAGACGGUUUUGCUGUCACUUAUAGAUGGAUCCGCGCCGCAUUAGCUAGUUGGUAAGGUAACGGCUUACCAAGGCGACGAUGCGUAGCCGACCUGAGAGGGUGAUCGGCCACACGGGAACUGAGACACGGUCCAGACUCCUACGGGAGGCAGCAGUAGGGAAUCUUCCGCAAGGGGCGAAAGCCUGACGGAGCAACGCCGCGUGAGUGAUGAAGGUCUUCGGAUCGUAAAACUCUGUUAUUAGGGAAGAACAAAUGUGUAAGUAACUAUGCACGUCUUGACGGUACCUAAUCAGAAAGCCACGGCUAACUACGUG